AUACGGAGGAUCCGAGCGUUAUCCGGAUUUAUUGGGUUUAAAGGGAGCGUAGGUGGACAGUUAAGUCAGUUGUGAAAGUUUGCGGCUCAACCGUAAAAUUGCAGUUGAUACUGGUUGUCUUGAGUACAGUAGAGGUGGGCGGAAUUCGUGGUGUAGCGGUGAAAUGCUUAGAUAUCACGAAGAACUCCGAUUGCGAAGGCAGCUCACUGGACUGCAACUGACACUGAUGCUCGAAAGCGUGGGUAUCAAACAGGAUUAGAUACCCUGGUAGUCCACACAGUAAACGAUGAAUACUCGCUGUUUGCGAUAUACAGUAAGCGGCCAAGCGAAAGCAUUAAGUAUUCCACCUGGGGAGUACGCCGGCAACGGUGAAACUCAAAUGAAUUGACGGGG
rnacentral:rRNA from 1 species